GAUGAACGCUAGCUACAGGCUUAACACAUGCAAGUCGAGGGGAAACGACAUCGAAAGCUUGCUUUUGAUGGGCGUCGACCGGCGCACGGGUGAGUAACGCGUAUCCAACCUGCCCACCACUUGGGGAUAACCUUGCGAAAGUAAGACUAAUACCCGAUGAUAUCUCUAUAAGACAUCUGAAAGGGAUUAAAGAUUUAUCGGUGAUGGAUGGGGAUGCGUCUGAUUAGCUUGUUGGCGGGGUAACGGCCCACCAAGGCGACGAUCAGUAGGUGGUCUGAGAGGAUGAUGAGACAGCGUGGGACGACGACACGGACCAGUGAGCUACGAGAAGCAGCAGUGGGGAAUAUGUAAAAGUGGAUUAGAGGGUGAUCAAGCAAGGCCGCGUGAGUGAUGAAGGUUUUAGGGAUGUAAAGCGCGUGUACCCGGGAUGAGAAUGACAGUACCGGGAGAAUAAGCACCGGCUAACUCCGUG
rnacentral:rRNA from 1 species